UCCGGUGGUUAAGCUAAGGGGAUCCACCUGUUCUCAUACCGAACACAGAAGUUAAGCCCUUAUACGCCGAAAAUACUGAGCUGGCGACGGCUUGGGAACAUAGGUAGCUGCCGGAU
rnacentral:rRNA from 1 species